UACGUAGGCAGCGAGCGUUGUUCGGAAUUACUGGGCGUAAAGCGCGCGUAGGCGGACCUGCAAGUCGGGGGUGAAAGCCCGAGGCUCAACCUCGGAACUGCCUUCGAUACUGCGGGUCUCGAGUCCGGGAGAGGUGAGUGGAAUUCCUAGUGUAGAGGUGAAAUUCGUAGAUAUUAGGAAGAACACCAGUGGCGAAGGCGGCUCACUGGCCCGGUACUGACGCUGAGGCGCGAAAGCGUGGGGAGCAAACAGG
rnacentral:rRNA from 1 species